UCAACUAUUAAUUUAACCCCCAAUCCACUAACGAAGCACUUUAAGCUAAACCAUUUUCCCCCUUAAGUACGAGCGACGGAAAAAGAACUUACGGAGCAAUAGAGAAAGUACCGCAAGGGAAAGCUGAAAGA
rnacentral:rRNA from 1 species